AGGGGUAAGAAUGCAGCAGUGAACAUGGUUCCUGCACUCAUGAAGCAAAUGUAUCCACUGUGGUACAAAAGAGACUGUAAAAAACAAACCCAAAUGGACAACAGGAGAGACCAUGUGGAGAGAAGGAGAGUUAGAGAGAGGAGGAGCCCCUGCUGUUUGAGUAUUCUCAGCCCAGACACCAGACAUGAGUGAGGAAGCAUUCAG
rnacentral:lncRNA from 10 species